rnacentral:rRNA from 1 species
UUUUAUAACAAACGGAUAUUUUUACUCCUUUUUUUAUUAUGGAUUGGAUUAUAAUAUUAUUUUUUUGAUAAUCGGAUUGGAUUAUAAUUUAUAUUUCUGGCGGUGGCGUCUCCUUUCCCGAGAUCGGCGGUGGUAAGCCUCUGAUCGACCGUUGAUGGCCUUGAGGAUGCGUCCCCCGCCGACGCUGUACUACGCGAGGUCCAGCAGGAGUCGCUCCGCGUCGUCCUCGUUGAACUCGGCGACGGCGAGCCUCGGGCAAGCGGCUCGAGGAUGCGUUAUUUGAUUCGUUUUGGUUCUUGUCUCGUGGUGCCAUGGGAGGAGGAAAUCAUGGGUAUUUGUGAGGAGGAAAUCGUAGGGGCGCCCAUGGCUUCAUGUUGGAGUAGGUCUCGUAUGAAGAUCCGAUCCAAAAUGGACAAACAUUUUUGUCCACUUAUUUACUGGAUUGCGGGUUGAUUAUUUAAUACUAUAGGGGGCCUUUUUAUAAAAUGGACACGACGGUGAACCCGACGGAAACAAUGCGUGCUUUAUUAGUAGGUAAAGAAAAGAUAAAGAUUGGUUUAUAUUUUUUUUCUAAGAAUCGGAUUGGAUUAUAAUUUAUAUUUUUAAUACAUUUCCAAGAAAGCAAAAAAUAUAUCUAUGUGAACGGGCCACAGUGGCCGCAACCCAUUUGAGUCAUGAGUGGUCGACUGUGGCGAGGAUGGUGCGACAUCAACGUCGGCCAUGGGUUGAGGGAGAUGACGAUUUUGCCAGUGCCGGUCGACGGAUCAUCGAGGUGGAUGGCGGCAAUGAUGAGGGUAGACGGGGAUGCCGGGGUGGGACGAGAUGUUGUUUCCUCGACUAUUUGACACAGUGAGCUAAAAAAACAUUUUGUUGAGAAGUGAGCAAAGUUGGAGAUGAACAAGGAAACCUUUGGUCGUGGGCCAGGAAACGUGAUAACCUCUGGCCCAACGGUUGAUGGGCCGCAACGACGGAUCCUAUCCAUUCUCAUCCUUUCCAGCCGCCUCCACGGUUCUCCGGCCACCGCCGCCGACGAUGACGCCGGCCGCCGCCCACUACUUCCGCAGCCCCGUCCACUCCCAACGUCAGCAAGCAUGCGCCGGUUUCCACAACGCAGCAGCAGAAGCAACCGCAGCCGGCAGGGAGCUGAUCCCGGCCGUCGCCCUCCACAUCGGUGACUGAAUCGGCGGUCAGGCAGCAGCAGUCCGCCAUCACGUUCACCCCAACCGCAGCAAGCAGCAGCAGCCGCGAUUCAAUUCCUCUCACGGUCUGGGAUCAAGAGAUGAGCUCACGGAUGGAUCACAUUCACUCUGUGCCGGAGAGCAAAGCUUCCUCAGCCACAUGCCCUCUGGUAGAUAUCGGUACUAAGUGGGAAAGAAUCAAUUCAGUGAGGUCUGACUAUGAGAGUGGAGAUUAAUGGACGUAACGUCCGAGCGAGUCUUUUCUGCCAUCACCCUCCAAAUCGGUGACUGAAUCAGUGGUCAGGCAGCAGCAGCCGCGCGUCGAUUCCUCUCUCACGGUCCAAGACCAAUAGAUGCUGGAAAGGAAAAGCUCCGUCAGGCACAUCGCCUCUGUUAGCAACGGAAUAUGCCAAAUAUGGGAGUUGCAAAGCAAAAGCUCCGUCAUCAGGCACAUCUACUAACUGCCAAGAGGAGAUUCACUAACUCACAGAUGCAGAGAAAUAUGGGAGACCGAAUAAGUUUUUGCAGCAGAUCAUGUCCAGGGAGGAGAUGAUGGGUGCACACCUUUCUCGUGUGGACAUCUCCGAGACAUAUUGCCUCCUUUCCGUCGGCAAGGUGAUCCUCUUGAGUGCGGUAUUGAAGCAUAUGAGCUGGGUUGUACCAGUAGCAAGGCUACAAUUCACAUCAGCACAGGAACAUACUAUGUGACUGCCAUCAACUACACCGGUUCCUACUUCUGGGUCAUGGAUCCCAACUUCAAUACCAGUAGCAGCUGCCCACUUCCAUUGUGGAAUCAUGUUCCUUACUUUGGAUAUUACGGCGGCACUGAUUCAGUUUCACCACCUGGCUUUCGUUAUUUGAUCACUCAAAGCUACUACAGAGCAUGUUUUGCUAAUUGUUCACGACCAGUAACAGAUAAUAGUGCGUACAAGCCUGUUGCUUGCCUGAGUGCCAACAAUUCACAUGUUUAUGUCUGGGUGCCUACUACAGAUAAUUGUGCGGUUGACCUUCUUGAACCUUAUUGUGGAUACCUGGCCAAUAUUCCAUUUGGUAACGAGUUUGUUCCUGAUUGGCGCAUACACAAUGCAAGUUAUGCAGAUAUCACACAAGUCGUAAGUAAGGGGUUUACUGUCCAAUUUCCUGUGGACACCAUGGGGCCUUCUGUCUCUGUGAAGUUAAGAAAGAACAUCAAUAUAUGCCUCAACAAUUCAAUCAGCUACUUCAAGGAGCAAUCAUCUGGUGCAAGCAUCGUGAAUUGGACUCAUGUUUUCUUCUGGAGUGAAGUGCACUUCUUAGAAUGUGUGGCUCAGUACUCCAACGAUCACUACUACACAACACCGUUUCUUUUGGUUGUUGUGACCAUAUUAUCUGUGAUUGCUAUUCCCAAGUUCUUUUUCGUACUGUGCAGGUUCUUGUUGGCACCCCUGGCUGUGUGGAUAUUCCUAGCCUACAAGUACUUGAAAACAAGGAUCAUAAUUGAUGCAGUCGAGAAGUUCCUCAGGAUUCAACAAGUGAUUGGCCCUACGAGGUAUGCCUACACAAACAUCGUUGCAGUCACAAGCCAUUUCAGAGAUAAAUUGGGCCAAGGGGGCUACGGCUCCGUGUACAAGGGUGUGCUACUUCCAGGGGAUAUUCAUGUCGCCGUCAAGAUGCUAGAGGGCAACUCAAACUGCAAUGGAGAAGAUUUCAUCAGCGAGGUCUCCACCAUCGGCAGGAUCCACCACGUCAAUGUGGUGCGUUUAGUGGGGUUCUGCUCGGAGGAAAUGAGAAGGGCCUUAGUCUACGAGUACAUGCCCAAUGGUUCUCUGGACAAGUACAUCUUCUCUACCGAGAAGAGCUUCUCAUGGGACAAGCUCAACGACAUCGCUUUGGGCAUUGCCAGGGGGAUCAACUACUUACAUCAGGGGUGUGACAUGCAGAUUCUACACUUUGACAUCAAGCCGCACAACAUCCUUCUCGAUAGCAAUUUCGUCCCAAAGGUCGCCGAUUUCGGGCUUGCCAAACUGUACCCGAGGGGAGACAGUUUCGUGCCACUGAGCGCCAUGCGGGGGACUGUCGGCUACAUAGCCCCGGAGAUGAUAUCCCGGAGCUUUGGUGUCAUAUCUAGCAAAUCUGACGUCUACAGCUUCGGGAUGCUGCUGUUGGAGAUGGCUGGCGGGAGAAGGAACGCUGAUCCAAACAUGGGGUCCUCAAGCCAGGCGUACUACCCGUCAUGGGUGUACGCCAAGCUGACCCGGGAAGAAGCGGGCGAGGAGAUAUCACCUGUUGCUGCCGACAUGCACGAACUGGAGAAGAAGCUGUGUGUUGUCGGAUUAUGGUGUAUUCAGAUGAGGUCUUGCGAUCGGCCAACAAUGGGCGAGGUCAUUGAGAUUCUGGAGGCUGGGACCGACAGCCUGCAGAUGCCUUCAAGACCAUUUUUCUGCGACGAAGGGCACAUCCAUGUGGAGGACUCUUAUCAUUUCACUUCCGAGCUGACAGUGGUGUCAGAGGAGGAAUCGACUGCGGUGUCAGAGGAAGACAAUGUGUGAGGUAUAUAUAUACGAUGUGUGAUAUAUUUUGUGCAUGUAAUCUGCACUUAUAUGUAUGUGUUCACAGAGUGAUGCACUUAGCUAAUAAAAGUGACGCAGUUUUGUAACAGUAUAAAUCUUUUGUGCAAACUGUCAUCCUUGUUCCGCACUUCAUUAUUGGAGAAACAGGGCAACUUCAAACUAGUUUGAAAAAAC